AUACGUAGGGUGCGAGCGUUAAUCGGAAUUACUGGGCGUAAAGCGUGCGCAGGCGGUUUUGUAAGUCAGAUGUGAAAUCCCCGGGCUUAACCUGGGAACUGCGUUUGAAACUGCAAGGCUAGAGUGUGGCAGAGGGGGGUGGAAUUCCGCGUGUAGCAGUGAAAUGCGUAGAGAUGUGGAGGAACACCGAUGGCGAAGGCAGCCCCCUGGGUUAACACUGACGCUCAGGCACGAAAGCAUGGGGAGCAAACAGGAUUAGAGACCCCAGUAGUCC
rnacentral:rRNA from 1 species